rnacentral:tRNA from 1 species
GUGCCCGUAGCUCAAUUGGAUAGAGCGUCUGCUUCCGAAGCAGAAGGUUGGCGGUUCAAGCCCGCCCGGGCACA